UACCGGCGGCCCGAGUGGCGGCCGGGUUUAUUGGGCCUAAAGGGUCCGGAGCCGGCCCCGUAAGUCUCCCGGGAAAUCGGGCGGCUCAACCGUCCGCUUCCGGGAGAUACUGCGGGGCUAGGGACCGGGAGAGGCCGGGGGUACUCCCGGGGUAGGGGUGAAAUCUUGUGAUCCCUGAGGGACCACCAGUGGCGAAGGCGUCUCACUAGAACGGGUCCGACGGUCAGGGACGAAAGCUGGGGGCACGAACCGG
rnacentral:rRNA from 1 species